rnacentral:rRNA from 1 species
CCUACGGGUGGCAGCAGUGAGGCAUAUUGGUCAAUGGGCGCGAGCCUGAACCAGCCAAGUAGCGUGAAGGAUGACUGCCCUACGGGUUGUAAACUUCUUUUAUCCAUGAAUAAAGUGAGUCACGUGUGCCUUUUUGUAUGUACUUUAUUAAUAAGGAUCGGCUAACUUCGUGCCAGCAUCCGCGGUAAUACUUAGGCUCCGAGCGUUAUCCGGAUUUAUUGGGGUUAAAGGGAGCGUAGAUGGGUUGUUAAGUCAGUUUUGAAAGUUUGCGGCUCAACCAUAAAAUUGCAAUUGAUACUGGCAGUCUUGAGUACAGUUGAGGUAGGCGGAAUUCGUGGUGUAGCGGUGAAAUGCUUAGAUAUCACGAAGAACUCCGAUUGCGAAGGCAGCUUACUAAACUGCCACUGACAUUGAUGCUCGAAAGUGUGGGUAUCAAACAGGAUUAGAUACAAGAGUAGUC